rnacentral:tRNA from 1 species
GGGGAUUUAGCUUAGUGGUAGAGCGCUUGCCUAGCACGCACAAGGCCCUGGGUUCGGUCCCCAGCUCCG